rnacentral:rRNA from 1 species
AAAGGCGCUUUCGGGUGUCGCUGAUGGAUGGACCCGCGGUGCAUUAGCUAGUUGGUGAGGUAACGGCUCACCAAGGCCACGAUGCAUAGCCGACCUGAGAGGGUGAUCGGCCACAUUGGGACUGAGACACGGCCCAAACUCCUACGGGAGGCAGCAGUAGGGAAUCUUCGGCAAUGGACGAAAGUCUGACCGAGCAACGCCGCGUGAGUGAAGAAGGUUUUCGGAUCGUAAAACUCUGUUGUUAGAGAAGAACAAGGAUGAGAGUAACUGUUCAUCCCUUGACGGUAUCUAACCAGAAAGCCACGGCUAACUACGUGCCAGCAGCCGCGGUAAUACGUAGGUGGCAAGCGUUGUCCGGAUUUAUUGGGCGUAAAGCGAGCGCAGGCGGUUUCUUAAGUCUGAUGUGAAAGCCCCCGGCUCAACCGGGGAGGGUCAUUGGAAACUGGGAGACUUGAGUGCAGAAGAGGAGAGUGGAAUUCCAUGUGUAGCGGUGAAAUGCGUAGAUAUAUGGAGGAACACCAGUGGCGAAGGCGGCUCUCUGGUCUGUAACUGACGCUGAGGCUCGAAAGCGUGGGGAGCAAACAGGAUUAGAUACCCUGGUAGUCCACGCCGUAAACGAUGAGUGCUAAGUGUUGGAGGGU